rnacentral:misc_RNA from 1 species
AUUGGUUUGAGAGAGAGGGU